GAUGAACGCUAGCGGCAGGCCUAAUACAUGCAAGUCGAACGGGAUCCAGAUCAAAGCUUGCUUUGGUUUGGUGAGAGUGGCGUACGGGUGCGUAACGCGUGAGCAACCUACCCUUGUCAGGGGGAUAGCCCGGCGAAAGUCGGAUUAAUACCGCAUGACAUCAUUGAGAGGCAUCUUUCGAUGAUCAAAGAUUUAUCGGACAAGGAUGGGCUCGCGUGACAUUAGCUAGUUGGUAAGGUAACGGCUUACCAAGGCUACGAUGUCUAGGGGCUCUGAGAGGAGAAUCCCCCACACUGGUACUGAGACACGGACCAGACUCCUACGGGAGGCAGCAGUAAGGAAUAUUGGUCAAUGGACGGAAGUCUGAACCAGCCAUGCCGCGUGCAGGAAGACGGCCCUAUGGGUUGUAAACUGCUUUUAUACGGGAACAAACGUCGGUACGUGUACCGGUCUGAGUGUACCGUAAGAAUAAGAAUCGGCUAACUCCGUG
rnacentral:rRNA from 1 species